rnacentral:rRNA from 1 species
UGGGGAAUAUUGCGCAAUGGGGGGAACCCUGACACAGCCAUGCCGCGUGAAUGAAGAAGGCCUUCGGGUUGUAAAGUUCUUUCGGUAUUGAGGAAGGUUGAUGUGUUAAUAGCACAUCAAAUUGACGUUAAAUACAGAAGAAGCACCGGCUAACUCCGUGCCAGCAGCCGCGGUAAUACGGAGGGUGCGAGCGUUAAUCGGAAUAACUGGGCGUAAAGGGCACGCAGGCGGUUAUUUAAGUGAGGUGUGAAAGCCCCGGGCUUAACCUGGGAAUUGCAUUUCAGACUGGGUAACUAGAGUACUUUAGGGAGGGGUAGAAUUCCACGUGUAGCGGUGAAAUGCGUAGAGAUGUGGAGGAAUACCGAAGGCGAAGGCAGCCCCUUGGGAAUGUACUGACGCUCAUGUGCGAAAGCGUGGGGAGCAAACAGGAUUAGAUACCCUGGUAGUCCACGCUGUAAACGCUGUCGAUUUGGGGGUUGGGGUUUAACUCUGGCGCCCGUAGCUAACGUGAUAAAUCGACCGCCUGGGGAGUACGGCCGCAAGGUUA